AAUUUUUUUAAAAAUUAAAAAUUAAAAAAAUGAUAGAAAAAUAGCUAUAUGAUUCUAUCAUUCCUUUUGCAUUUGUUAACUAUAAUUAUUCUACGAAGAACUUGGCCUUAACAACUAUUUGGUGGCCUUGAGGUAUUAUUGGAACAGAAAAGGCAGGAAGAAUGCUGAUUCUUUUCGGUUUCCAGACUGUGAGUUGUUUUCCAGGCAUCAUCCAAAGUUAUCAAUUAUUUUUAAUUUUUUUGCACUUAUAGAUUUUAAUAUUUUUGAUGUAUUCCAAUACAUUAUACUUAUUAUUCUUUUUGAUGCUCAGAUUCUUUCACCUUUGAGAAGUGGGAACCCCUUUCAGCUGGCUCCCAUGUCUUUUGAGAUGAACUUGAUUGCCUUCAAGUGUUUUCUUGCUUUCUGGUAUGACAAGAGGGAGAGAGAGCAUAAGCAUGAGGGCCAGAAGGAGACAGAGAAA
rnacentral:lncRNA from 1 species